rnacentral:rRNA from 1 species
GCCUAAUACAUGCAAGUCGAGCGAGGCCCAUCCUUCGGGGUGGUGCCCUAGCGGCGAACGGGUGAGUAACACGUGGGCAACCUGCCCUCAGCUCUGGGAUAACUCCAAGAAAUUGGUGCUAAUACCGGAUGUGACCGCUGACCGCAUGGUCUGGUGGUGGAAAGAUUCAUCGGCUGAGGAUGGGCCCGCGGCCUAUCAGCUUGUUGGUGGGGUGAUGGCCUACCAAGGCGACGACGGGUAGCCGGCCUGAGAGGGUGACCGGCCACACUGGGACUGAGACACGGCCCAGACUCCUACGGGAGGCAGCAGUGGGGAAUAUUGCGCAAUGGGCGAAAGCCUGACGCAGCGACGCCGCGUGGGGGAUGACGGCCUUCGGGUUGUAAACCUCUUUCAGUAGGGACGAAGCGGAAGUGACGGUACCUACAGAAGAAGCACCGGCCAACUACGUGCCAGCAGCCGCGGUAAUACGUAGGGUGCAAGCGUUGUCCGGAAUUAUUGGGCGUAAAGAGCUCGUAGGCGGUCUGUCGCGUCGGCUGUGAAAACCCGAGGCUCAACCUCGGGCCUGCAGUCGAUACGGGCAAACUAGAGUGUUGCAGGGGAGACUGGAAUUCCUGGUGUAGCGGUGAAAUGCGCAGAUAUCAGGAGGAACACCGGUGGCGAAGGCGGGUCUCUGGGCAACAACUGACGCUGAGGAGCGAAAGCGUGGGGAGCGAACAGGAUUAGAUACCCUGGUAGUCCACGCCGUAAACGUUGGGCGCUAGGUGUGGGGGCCAUUCCACGGUCUCCGUGCCGCAGCUAACGCAUUAAGCGCCCCGCCUGGGGAGUACGGCCGCAAGGCUAAAACUCAAAGGAAUUGACGGGGGCCCGCACAAGCGGCGGAGCAUGUUGCUUAAUUCGAUGCAACGCGAAGAACCUUACCUAGGCUUGACAUGCACGGAAAUCUGUCAGAGAUGGCAGGUCCUUUGGGGUCGUGCACAGGUGGUGCAUGGUUGUCGUCAGCUCGUGUCGUGAGAUGUUGGGUUAAGUCCCGCAACGAGCGCAACCCUCGUUCUAUGUUGCCAGCACGUGAUGGUGGGGACUCAUAGGAGACUGCCGGGGUCAACUCGGAGGAAGGUGGGGAUGACGUCAAAUCAUCAUGCCCCUUAUGUCUAGGGCUGCAAACAUGCUACAAUGGCCGGUACAAAGGGCUGCGAUACCGUGAGGUGGAGCGAAUCCCAAAAAGCCGGUCUCAGUUCGGAUUGGGGUCUGCAACUCGACCCCAUGAAGUUGGAGUCGCUAGUAAUCGCAGAUCAGCAAUGCUGCGGUGAAUACGUUCCCGGGCCUUGUACAACACCGCCCGUCAC